rnacentral:rRNA from 1 species
AUGAACGCUGGCGGCGUGCCUAACACAUGCAAGUCGAACGGAGUCCAGCCUUUAAGACCUUCGGGUCAAAGAGGGGAAGACUGAGUGGCGGACGGGUGAGUAACACGUGGGCAACCUGGCUCAUAGAGGGGGAUAACAGAGAGAAAUUUCUGCUAAUACCGCAUAAGCACACACUGCCGCAUGGCAGAGGGUGAAAAGAGAAUCGCUAUGAGAUGGACCCGCGUCUGAUUAGCCAGUUGGCAGGGUAAGAGCCCACCAAAGCGACGAUCAGUAGCCGAUCUGAGAGGAUGAACGGCCACAUUGGGACUGAGACACGGCCCAAACUCCUACGGGAGGCAGCAGUGGGGGAUAUUGCACAAUGGGGGGAACCCUGAUGCAGCGACGCCGCGUGAGUGAAGAAGUAUUUCGGUAUGUAAAGCUCUAUCAGCAGGGAAGAUAAUGACAGUACCUGAAUAAGAAGCCCCGGCUAACUACGU